rnacentral:rRNA from 1 species
GACGGAGGAGGCAAGCGUUAUCCGGAAUUAUUGGGCGUAAAGCGUCCGCAGGUGGCGAUUCAAGUCUGCUGUCAAAGGUCGGGGCUUAACCCCGGGAAGGCAGUGGAAACUGAAUAGCUAGAGUGCGGUAGGGGCAGAGGGAAUUCCCGGUGUAGCGGUGAAAUGCGUAGAGAUCGGGAAGAACACCAGUGGCGAAAGUGCUCUGCUGGGCCUGCACUGACACUGAGGGACGAAAGCUAGGGGAGCGAAAGG